rnacentral:rRNA from 1 species
UAAUACGGAGGGUGCAAGCGUUAAUCGGAAUUACUGGGCGUAAAGCGCACGCAGGCGGUUUGUUAAGUCAGAUGUGAAAUCCCCGGGCUCAACCUGGGAACUGCAUUUGAAACUGGCAAGCUAGAGUCUCGUAGAGGGGGGUAGAGUUCCAGGUGUAGCGGUGAAAUGCGUAGAGAUCUGGAGGAAUACCGGUGGCGAAGGCGGCCCCCUGGACGAAGACUGACGCUCAGGUGCGAAAGCGUGGGGAGCAAACAGGAUUAGAUACCCUGGUAGUCCACGCUGUAAACGAUGUCGAUUUGGAGGUUGUGCCCUUGAGGCGUGGCUUCCGGAGCUAACGCGUUAAAUCGACCGCCUGGGGAGUACGGCCGCAAGGUU